GGGGAACUUGAGUGCAGAAGAGGAGAGUGGAAUUCCACGUGUAGCGGUGAAAUGCGUAGAGAUGUGGAGGAACACCAGUGGCGAAGGCGACUCUCUGGUCUGUAACUGACGCUGAGGAGCGAAAGCGUGGGGAGCGAACAGGAUUAGAUACCCUGGUAGUCCACGCCGUAAACGAUGAGUGCUAAGUGUUAGGGGGUUUCCGCCCCUUAGUGCUGCAGCUAACGCAUUAAGCACUCCGCCUGGGGAGUACGGUCGCAAGACUGAAACUCAAAGGAAUUGACGGGGGCCCGCACAAGCGGUGGAGCAUGUGGUUUAAUUCGAAGCAACGCGAAGAACCUUACCAGGUCUUGACAUCCUCUGACAAUCCUAGAGAUAGGACGUCCCCUUCGGGGGCAGAGUGACAGGUGGUGCAUGGUUGUCGUCAGCUCGUGUCGUGAGAUGUUGGGUUAAGUCCCGCAACGAGCGCAACCCUUGAUCUUAGUUGCCAGCAUUCAGUUGGGCACUCUAAGGUGACUGCCGGUGACAAACCGGAGGAAGGUGGGGAUGACGUCAAAUCAUCAUGCCCCUUAUGACCUGGGCUACACACGUGCUACAAUGGACAGAACAAAGGGCAGCGAAACCGCGAGGUUAAG
rnacentral:rRNA from 1 species